AUCCUACGGGACGCAGCAGUGAGGAAUAUUGGUCAAUGGGAGGAAUCCUGAACCAGCCAUGCCGCGUGCAGGACGACGGCUCUAUGAGUUGUAAACUGCUUUUGUACCGGGGUAAAAUGUCUUACGAGUAGGGUUUUGAAAGUACGGUACGAAUAAGGACCGGCUAACUCCGUGCCAGCAGCCGCGGUAAUACGGAGGAUGCGAGCGUUAUCCGGAUUUAUUGGGUUUAAAGGGUGCGUAGGCGGGUUUUUAAGUUAGUGGUUAAACGUCGGGGCUUCACCUUGAUUUGCCAUUAUUACUGUAAG
rnacentral:rRNA from 1 species